rnacentral:misc_RNA from 1 species
GAGAAGAACGCAGCGAAAUGCGAUAAGUAAUGUGAAUUGCAGAAUUCAGUGAAUCAUCGAAUCUUUGAACGCACAUUGCGCCCGCCAGUAUUCUGGCGGGCAUGCCUGUUCGAGCGUCAUUUCAACCAUCAAGCCCUGCUUGCGUUGGGGUCCUGCGGCUGCCCGCAGGCCCUGAAAACCAGUGGCGGGCUCGCUAGUCACACCGAGCGCAGUAAUACAUCUCGCUUUGGGCGUGCGGCGGGUUCUUGCCGUUAAACACCCCCUUUUUACCAAGGUUGACCUCGGAUCAGGUAGGAAUACCCGCUGAACUUAAGCAUAUCAAUAAGCGGAGGA